UACGUAGGGGGCAAGCGUUGUCCGGAAUCAUUGGGCGUAAAGCGCGUGUAGGCGGUUCGGUAAGUCUGCUGUGAAAGUCCAGGGCUCAACCCUGGGAUGCCGGUUGAUACUGUCGGACUAGAGUACGGAAGAGGCGAGUGGAAUUCCCGGUGUAGCGGUGAAAUGCGCAGAUAUCGGGAGGAACACCAAUUGCGAAGGCAGCUCGCUGGGACGUCACUGACGCUGAGACGCGAAAGCGUGGGGAGCAAACAGG
rnacentral:rRNA from 1 species